AGUGAACGCUGGCGGUAGGCCUAACACAUGCAAGUCGAACGGCAGCACAGUAAGAGCUUGCUCUUACGGGUGGCGAGUGGCGCACGGGUGAGGAAUACAUCGGAAUCUACUUUUUCGUGGGGGAUAACGUAGGGAAACUUACGCUAAUACCGCAUACGACCUACGGGUGAAAGCAGGGGAUCUUCGGACCUUGCGCGAUUGAAUGAGCCGAUGUCGGAUUAGCUAGUUGGCGGGGUAAAGGCCCACCAAGGCGACGAUCCGUAGCUGGUCUGAGAGGAUGAUCAGCCACACUGGAACUGAGACACGGUCCAGACUCCUACGGGAGGCAGCAGUGGGGAAUAUUGGACAAUGGGCGCAAGCCUGAUCCAGCCAUACCGCGUGGGUGAAGAAGGCCUUCGGGUUGUAAAGCCCUUUUGUUGGGAAAGAAAAGCAGCAGGUUAAUACCCCGCUGUUCUGACGGUACCCAAAGAAUAAGCACCGGCUAACUUCGU
rnacentral:rRNA from 1 species